rnacentral:lncRNA from 1 species
GUGAUCCAAAAUGCUGGUGGUAGCAAUUUUUUAUCAUUCUCUUGCAAUUGAGAUUGGAAAAAGGUUGAAAAAACGAAUCAGUCAAUUAUGGUGAAACACAAGUUAUUCCUAGAGCUUGGCCAAGUCCAUCUACCUCUAGAUAAUGUUUAGAUCCAUUAAUGGUAGUCUUUGUAUAUGCAUGAUGACAAAAUGGAUGAACAAAGAAAAGUAAGAUAGAUGCUCAUGCCAUUAUCUUUGUAACCUAGGACAUACAAACAUAGCCACGAAAAAGAGGCUACAUGAGCCCAAACUCUAUACUCAAUUGGUUGAGAACUUCAGUUAAGAAGCUUAAAAUGCACAAGCUUCAAAUCAAGUACCAUUAAAAUGGAGCAAAGAAGAAGACCUGGUUAUGCAGAACGUUAAGGUCUGUUCAUUCAACACUCAAACCAAGGUACGAAUCAUGUUUAACUCUCUAAUAAAAACAUUUGCAAACAAGCUUUGAAGAAACUGUUU